rnacentral:misc_RNA from 1 species
GACUCAGUAAAUUGCUGCAUACUUUUCAUGUACAUAUCCACAAUAUCCUGUUGCACAACCUUCUGCUCUGGCUCAAUGACCACUGGCUUUGGAAAUGCACUGGGUGGCUUGCUUUCCGAUAUGUUGCUCUCAGCAUUUCCAACAUUAUUUUUACCUGUGGGACAUUCUUUAGAAGCUGAUGCAUAUUCUUCCUCUGGCGACUUGGAAGCUCCUUGGGUCUCGGAGGACUGAGAGCUUGCGGGAUGCAAAACUGUUGGAGAGUCAAUGGUUGAUAUGCUGCUAGGAGGCGAAUCACGCUUAGGAUAUUGGUGGAAAUUAGUAGCCUCACUUGGAACAUUUUCCAUAUGGACAUCGACUUCUAGACUGAGCUGGUUUUCCGUAUCAGAAGAGACCAAGCUAUCCGAGCUUUGAGAAUCUGGAUUACUGCUUGGCAUAUUGAAGUACUCGGAGACCAUGAGAUUAUUCUCAUUUACAAUCUUAGGAUCUGGGAACUCAAUUUUGUCAAACUCAUUUGGAAGGGACUCACGUGCUUCGCCGUCUGUCCGAGAUGCAUCAGUUUCUAAUAUGGGAAAAGCAGGAAUUUCAAUAACUUCAGGUGAAGUUCCAUUGUAAGAAAGGGACAAGUGCACAAAUCCUGCUGGGGAGUGAAAGAGAUCAGUCGACGAAAGAGAGAACUCUUUUUCUAGCUUUCCAUUUUUCAUGAGGAUUUCAGAUAAGGGGACUAGUGCAAAUCCCAACAAUUGGUCUUCCAAAUAAUUCCUCACCCUGCUCAUCAUCCAUAUCUCACAUUUAACAGAACAUUUUAUCGUACGAACAUUGAGCUUUAGAUUUUCGUUGAAGACUGGACUUUUCCCACCGCCAUUAAUGGUUUGAGUGGAGACUGCACUUUCAGGAUCACUUGUAAGGCAAAGUUUUGCAUAAACAUCUUGUUUAUGGUAAAUGCAGAUGUUGUGGAUAUCUCUAGCCUGAUGUACGUACACGUCGAGAACACCAAUGAAGUCCUCCAUGUUGCAGAUUUCAACAUCCUCUCUAUGAGCAGAAAUUCCCCGGGAUAGACCAGAAGCGUUCUUGCUGAAAAAUUCAUUGCUUUGCUUCUCAGAGUCCGCGAAAACGGAGGAACUCUUAAAUGGUGACACAACAGACUGUGGAGAAUCCAUGAAGCUGACCACAAAUAUAACCAACAGACUGAGUCUCUGAUUAUCAAGCCAAAAAUCUACCCAAAAGAGUGAUCUUUUAUGGAAAAUGAAGAAAACCCAACUCUUAAAACGAAGCAAAGGAUGAGAAUAAUUGUGAUUUGCAGAGAAUAAAAUCAACAAGAAUGAUGAUAGUGGAUUUGGAAGUUUGUCAGAAAGUCCCCUAAAUAUUUGUGCUCUAAUUUU